GACGAACGCUGGCGGCGUGCUUAACACAUGCAAGUCGAACGGAAAGGCCCUGCUUUUGUGGGGUGCUCGAGUGGCGAACGGGUGAGUAACACGUGAGUAACCUGCCCUUGACUUUGGGAUAACUUCAGGAAACUGGGGCUAAUACCGGAUAGGAGCUCCUGCUGCAUGGUGGGGGUUGGAAAGUUUCGGCGGUUGGGGUUGGACUCGCGGCUUAUCAGCUUGUUGGUGGGGUAGUGGCUUACCAAGGCUUUGACGGGUAGCCGGCCUGAGAGGGUGACCGGCCACAUUGGGACUGAGAUACGGCCCAGACUCCUACGGGAGGCAGCAGUGGGGAAUAUUGCACAAUGGGCGGAAGCCUGAUGCAGCAACGCCGCGUGCGGGAUGACGGCCUUCGGGUUGUAAACCGCUUUCGCCUGUGACGAAGCGUGAGUGACGGUAAUAGGUAAAGAAGCACCGGCUAACUACGUG
rnacentral:rRNA from 1 species